AGAGUUUGAUCAUGGCUCAGGAUAAACGCUGGCGGCGUGCCUAACACAUGCAAGUCGAACGCUCUCGGGCAACUGAGGGAGUGGCGGACGGGUGAGUAACACGUGGGUAUCUACCUUGAGGUGAGGAAUACCAGCGAGAAAUCGCUGACAAUACCGCAUACGUUUCUUCACAGAAACAAAGUCGUAAGACGCCCCAAGAUGAGCCUGCGCCCGAUUAGCCAGUUGGUGAGGUAAUGGCUUACCAAAGCGACGAUCGGUAGCUGGUCUGAGAGGACGAUCAGCCACACUGGGAUUGAGAACGGCCCAGACUCCUACGGGGGGCAGCAGUGAGGAAUUUUCGGCAAUGGGGGCAACCCUGACCGAGCAACGCCGCGUGCAGGAAGACGGCCUUCGGGUUGUAAACUGCUUUUCUCUGGGACGAGCAAGGACGGUACCAGAGGAAUCAGCCUCGGCUAACUACGUGCCAGCAGCCGCGGUAAUACGUAGGAGGCGAGCGUUGUCCGGAGUUACUGGGCGUAAAGCGCACGCAGGCGGUCUUGUCAGUCUCAGGUGACAGUCCUCGGCUUAACUGAGGAAGUGUCUGGGAAACUGCAAGACUUGAGGGCUUCAGAGGGACAUGGAAUUCCAGGUGGAGUGGUGAAAUGCGUAGAUAUCUGGAGGAACACCAAAGGCGAAGGCAGUGUCCUGGGGAGCAUCUGACGCUCAGGUGCGAAAGCUAGGGGAGCGAACGGGAUUAGAUACCCCGGUAGUCC
rnacentral:rRNA from 1 species